rnacentral:misc_RNA from 1 species
AUUGGCUACCACUAUUAGUUGUGCGUUCUCUAGCCACUUGCCUACAACUUGUACCUUAAUUACUUCAGCAGCUCUAUUGUAUGAUGACGAUGGACGAGCCUUAAAAUGUAGUGGGCAGUGCUUGUGCUGUGGUUGGUAGCUGCUUCUAUUGAUGAUAAGGACCGUGUUAGAGGUGGCGGUCGGGGAUGUCAAUGUGGAUUGUGAAGACUGGUAAUGGAGGCGUUUCUUUAUAUAAAAGCACAGAUUUCUUACAUUUGCGUGGAUCUUCUUUUGUAUAUUGAAUCAGAGUAAAUAUCUUGUACUCUAUAUGUUAAAUUCUUAUUCUCACUUCCACCUUGGCUUACAUGAUUGUUUAAGGUGUUGGUGGUAAGGAAUUUCCCCAACUUUUCUUUAA